rnacentral:rRNA from 1 species
AUUGAACGCUGGCGGCAUGCCUUACACAUGCAAGUCGAACGGUAACGGGCCUUCGGGUGCCGACGAGUGGCGAACGGGUGAGUAAUGUAUCGGAACGUACCUUUCAGUGGGGGAUAACGUAGCGAAAGUUACGCUAAUACCGCAUAUUCUGUGAGCAGGAAAGCAGGGGAUCGCAAGACCUUGCGCUGAUUGAGCGGCCGAUAUCAGAUUAGCUAGUUGGUGAGGUAAAGGCUCACCAAGGCGACGAUCUGUAGCGGGUCUGAGAGGAUGAUCCGCCACACUGGAACUGAGACACGGUCCAGACUCCUACGGGAGGCAGCAGUGGGGAAUUUUGGACAAUGGUGGCAACCCUGAUCCAGCCAUGCCGCGUGAGUGAAGAAGGCCUUCGGGUUGUAAAGCUCUUUCGGCCGGGAAGAAAUCGUAUCAGCUAAUACCUGGUGCGGAUGACGGUACCGGCAUAAGAAGCACCGGCUAACGACGUGCCAGCCGCCGCGGUAAAAC